CCCACGGCUUGCGCCGUGGGCUAGACUCUAACGCCCCUCCGGGGCU
rfam:Acidobacteria bacterium RIFCSPLOWO2_02_FTLL_61_28 rifcsplowo2_02_scaffold_13597, whole genome shotgun sequence.